UUACAUAGAAAUAAAACACAAUUCAGCUUAAACAUUUUUUAUUGCUUUUAUACUAAUGAGGAAAGGAUGUAAAUGAUGCUUUUAGAUCUCAAACAUAUGUCUAGGCACUUUGAAUAGUCUAUAACAUUACUUAACUUAAUUACUUUAAACAAUUGCCUCCAAAGUACACUGGCGUUCAAAAGUGCAUGGACAUGUUUCAACCGCAUAGAAGUAGCAUCCUAUAGAAGUGGUGUGCGCGUGCCUCCGUGAGGGACAAAACAUACGGAAUGCGAACAUAUUAAAAACACGUUUUAACAUUCCUGACAAUAUACCAAAAACAAUCUACGUAAUUCGGUCGGGUUAUUUGUUGCCCACCAUAGCCCAUACUAACAAAAAGGUGGGGAACAAACAAAAAGUGAGACUGUGACAAGGACAAGCAAUAGUACCGCUUUCGCUACUCCUACUGAAAGUUCUAUAAGUGUAUCUCGUUCGGUCAUUUGGCCCCUCCCCCAUGUCUUCUCUAUAUUAUUGUACCUCUAUGUUCAACCGUAAUAUUAAGGCAUUAUGGUCGACAUCUAUCCAUGCACUUUUGAACGCCACUGUACAUUAAACAUAAUGAUUUAAUGAAGAUUGUUCUUUUGGAUGGACUUUGUACAGUCAACAUCAUACAUUCAAGUAAAUUCUCUGAGAGUUUUAUAAAUAUAGUAAAAUAUUUAAUAUAGUAUGUGCAGAUGUUUAGGUCCUGUCUAUUUUUGAAAAUUAAGGAUGUUAGAGUUAGACCAAAAAGUCUGCAGCGAUUUUGAUAGCCCACGCAGUGCAACUGUUAUUUAUAAGUACGUGAUAAUUUCAUAGAAGUUUGACGUUUAAAAUAACACUUGCACUGCGUGGGCUAUCAAAAUCGCUGCAGACUUUUCUUGGUCUAACUAUCAUGUUUUACGAUUAUUUUACAGGCCAACAUUAUUUUAUAGAUAGGCCAGUCAAAUUAGAUUUUUCCCAGGAUUUAAUUCCCAGCAAGCUGGAAAUCGUUUUAAUAUCUUCAUUUGGUUCUAAAUUAGUGUAAUCCAAGUUUGCUCCAUUCCAAGAGUUGAGGGAAAAAAUUGCUCUUUUUUCAGUUUUUUGCUUGUAGUUCAAAAACGGUACGUCCGACGGAAAAUUUGCUCUAAUCAUGAUAAAAAUUAACAUCUGAGGAUCCGAAAGGUACCUUAUUUCGGUUUUAUUAUAUAUUCAUAGCCAAAGAUUGUAAAAAAUAGCCGCCACUUUGUAUAAAAAUCCGAUUUUUUUUUCACCCGUGUCAGGUCCACAUCAACCUUGCUGGUAGUGACAUUGUAAUUGAUGGUGGGUUUCUUCUACAUCGAGCGGUUUUGUCAAUCCAAGGUCAAAUGUAUCUCCGAAGGCUCCCAAAAUUUAUCCACACUUCCUGGGAUGGAGCAAACUCGGAUUAUACGCAUUUAGGACCAAAUGAAGGUAUUAAAAUGAUUUCUAGCUUGCUGGGAAUUAAUUCCUCAAAACGCUUUUUUUAUCUAGUUUGACCGCGCUACAUGGGAAAAACGAAUGUUCACUGUUUUGUCAAAAAUCGUCGCUAUCAGCGGCAAUUUUUCACAACUAAGAAAGAAAAAUGAAGAUACAACUUUUGCUUGUCUGUACGACCCAAAUACAUAUAUUUAAAUACACGCAAAAUAGUUUUCCAAUUCAUUUGUGUAACGAAAAUAUAAAUAAAUAAGGGUAGCUUUCGUUACACCGUGGAAACAACUGAAAUUAAUACAUGUAUGUCAAGAACCUAUGAUAUAAAAUAAAACGUAGGGUUAAAAUUCAAGCCCAUAACUAUAAUAUUAAGCAAUAAUGUAUUCAGAUAAAAUUACGAGUAUCAAGGAUUAUAAUAACUGAUAUUAAAGAAUCUUCAUUCUAACAACACAUUUUUUGGCUUUUUACUAUUUUUUCAAGUACAGCAUAUUUUCCGUGAAUAAUAUUUUCUUUAUUACAAUAAGCAUUAAGUAUUCCAGUUUAUCUUAAUUUUAGAGUAAUUUGAAUAAUUUAAUGAUAUAUUUACAAAUGAUUAAUA